CGACAAGCAAAACAAGGGCGCAUGGGGGAUGCCUGGGCUCUCGGAGGCGAUGAAGGACGCGAUAAGCUGCGAUAAGCUGCGGGGACCGGCACAUACGGGUCGAUCCGCAGGUUUCCGAAUGGGGCAACCCAGUACACUGAAGGUGUAUUACCCAUAUGGGGGCGAACCCGGGGAACUGAAACAUCUAAGUACCCGGAGGAAGAGAAAACAAGAGUGAUUCCGCCAGUAGCGGCGAGCGAAAGCGGAGCAGCCCAAACCGACCGUGUUUCGGCACGGGCGGGGUUGUAGGGCCGCGACAUUGGCCGCGGGACGAACCGGAAGGCGCUGGAAAGCGCUGCCGUAGAGGGUGAAAGCCCCGUACGGGCAAGGAACGUUGGCCAUAGCGGUACCCUGAGUAGCGCGGGGCACGUGGAACCCUGUGUGAAUCCGCCGGGACCAUCCGGCAAGGCUAAAUACUCCCGAGAGACCGAUAGUGGACCAGUACCGUGA
rnacentral:rRNA from 1 species